rnacentral:rRNA from 1 species
AGAGUUUGAUCAUGGCUCAGAACGAACGCUGGCGGCAGGCUUAACACAUGCAAGUCGAGCGCAUCCUUCGGGGUGAGCGGCGGACGGGUUAGUAACGCGUGGGAACGUGCCCUCUUCUACGGAAUAGCCUCGGGAAACUGAGAUUAAUACCGUAUACGCCCGAAAGGGGAAAGAUUUAUCGGAGGAGGAUCGGCCCGCGUUGGAUUAGGUAGUUGGUGAGGUAACGGCUCACCAAGCCGACGAUCCAUAGCUGGUUUGAGAGGAUGAUCAGCAACACUGGGACUGAGACACGGCCCAGACUCCUACGGGAGGCAGCAGUGGGGAAUCUUGGACAAUGGGGGCAACCCUGAUCCAGCCAUGCCGCGUGGACGAUGAAGGCCUUAGGGUUGUAAAGUCCUUUCGCCAGGGAAGAUAAUGACGGUACCUGGUAAAGAAGCCCCGGCUAACUCCGUGCCAGCAGCCGCGGUAAUACGGAGGGGGCUAGCGUUGUUCGGAAUUACUGGGCGUAAAGCGCACGUAGGCGGAUCAGUCAGUCAGGGGUGAAAUCCCGGGGCUCAACCCCGGAACUGCCUUUGAUACUGCUGGUCUGGAGGUCGAGAGAGGUGAGUGGAAUUCCGAGUGUAGAGGUGAAAUUCGUAGAUAUUCGGAGGAACACCAGUGGCGAAGGCGGCUCACUGGCUCGAUACUGACGCUGA